AGAUGGAGCAGGAAAAGCUCAUAUGGUGGCCAGCCCUUUGUGGUCUGUGUGUUCAAGCCUGGGGGUGGCUUCAGCUGAUUCCUCAAGUUACUGAGGAAUUGAUGAGUUAGUGCAUGGAAAGCGCUUAGAACCAACGGUGCCAGCGCAGAGGACGUGCUUAGGAAGGUUAGCCAUUUGUUAUUAUGAAUAAGUUGCUUCCCUCACCAAAAGUGGAAGUUGGGGUGCUGUGGGGGCCCAGAGAGGAAGGUGGGGAAGGAGGGGGUCUCUGCAGGGUAGGUUAGUUUAUGUAUGUAGGUUUUUAUUAAUUUUUAAUUUUUUUUAGGGCUGCACCCGCGGCAUAUGGAGGUUCCCAGGCUACGGGUCAUUUCAGAGCUGUAGCUGCUGGCCUACACCACAGCCACAGCAACACCAGAUCCGAGCCGUGUCUGCGACCUACUACACCAUAGCUAUGGCAACACCAGAUCCUUAACCCACUGAGUGAGGCCAGGGAUCGAACCUGAGUUCUCAUGGAUACUAGUCAGAUUCGUGUCUGCUGAACCAUGACAGGAACUCCUUUGUAUGUAGGUUUUGAUUUUCACUUGGAACGCUGUUCUGAAUUCUGCUAAGGAAUCCUCUUGCAGUCCAGAAAGGGAGAUGGGAGUGGAGUCCGUGGAUGUUCUGAUUCCUUCCAGAGCUCUCAGACUGAGCUGCUAAAUCCAGCCUCAAAGAGGGUGUGAUUCCUGAUGAAGAGCAGCAGACUCCUCUCUCACCAGCCUGUCACCUCUCCACUAAAAGCUCUCAUCCUUUAGCAACCUGUCUUCAUGGGAAGCUACCCCUGGCCCUCCCAUCCCCCUCAUAAGCAUUUAGGAACCCCAGGGGUCUCAGUGACUUACAGCCAAGAACUGUGCCUGAGAACCUGGGAAGGGCUUUCACCUGACCUGGGAGAGCACAGGAUUCCAUCAGCAACUUCUUCUGGAAAAUUACUGAACCAACCUGUCCCCAGCCGUCUCCUUGGAAUUGUUUGCUAUUUGAUUCUUAAAGUGGACACAUGUUCUGUCCCAGAUGCAUUCCCAGGAGCAGUCAGCUUGUCCCUGUGUGGGCAGGGCCGUGAGGUUCUGGAACGCACUAGCAGUUUGGUCUGAUCUAGGUUCAGAGGCUGAGCAGGGCCUUACCUUGGAGCCCUUUCCUGCCCCUUCACGCUGCCCUUGCUGGGGCACAUCUGUGAAGGAGGAGGAACAGGAGGCACAUCUGGGAAGCUCUACCCUCAAGGGGGGUCACUCUAGCCUCCUGGAGGUUUGGGCCCAAGAUCCACGGGUUCUGCUCGCCCCCCCCCACCCCCACCCCAGAGUUCACAGCCUCAGCCAAACCCAGUAGCUGCAUUGGGAGCCUGGGCCUGGCCUGUGUGGUGCUCUGACUGCAAGGAGGGCGAGAUUCAGAAAUUGGGAAAACCAGGCAUAUGGCCAUGUCCUUGUGCUGGGAGGAGGAAUGGGAGCUGGGAAUAAGGGAGGAAAAUGUAAGAUAGAGAUGAUGACACCUGCAGAGAGAUGCAGUAGGGGGGAUCUAGAGAGAGACCAGGCACCCCGAAACUCUUGGAAAAAGAGUCAGACAAUGGGUCAGACGGACCCACAGGAAGGAAGGUAGAAGAUGGUCACGGUCGCUGUCAAGUGCAUCCCGAGUGGGUACCAGGUGCCAAGACGAGCACCUUGCAUAGUCUAUCUCAUUUAAUCUUAGUAAUAGUACUAUGAUAUAAGUACUGUUCUCUGAAUGUCCCAAACAAUUCAGAAACAAUUCAGAAAGAUCAGAUAUCUUCUCUAAGGUCCCACAGCUUUUGGUGGAAAAUCAGGACUAGAACUCGGCUCCCCUUUUUUUGCAAAGCCCAUAUGCUGCCCCCUUGCAGAGAGGCCAUGACCUUGGGAGUGUGGCCAGUGGGGCGGAGCGCCCCUGAGCCUCCUGCAUGCCUGGAGGCAUGAAGCCCUCUCUUUUGUAGUCAAGAUGUGCUCAUAAAGAGACUGCAGAGAAAGGAGUUCCCAUCGUGGAUCAGAGGAUCAUGGAAACGAAACCAACUAGGAAGCAUGAGGUUGCAGGUUCGAUCCUUGGCCUCGCUCUGUGGGUUGAGGAUCCAGCGUUGCCAUGAGCUGUGGUGUAGGUCGCAGAUGCGGCUCGGGUUUGGCUUUGCUGUGGCUCUGGUCUCAGCUCCCAUUAGACCCCAAGCCUGGGAACCUCCAUAUGCUGUAGGUGUGGCCCUCAAAAGACAAAAAAAAAA
rnacentral:lncRNA from 1 species